UACGGGGGGAGCAAGCGUUGUUCGGAUUUACUGGGCGUAAAGGGCGCGUAGGCGGCCACCGCAAGUCGACUGUGAAAUCUCCGGGCUUAACCCGGAAAGGUCAGCCGAUACUGCGGGGCUAGAGUGCAGAAGGGGCAACUGGAAUUCUCGGUGUAGCGGUGAAAUGCGUAGAUAUCGAGAGGAACACCUGCGGCGAAGGCGGGUUGCUGGGCUGACACUGACGCUGAGGCGCAAAAGCUAGGGGAGCGAACGGG
rnacentral:rRNA from 1 species